UACGGGGGGGGCGAGCGUUGUUCGGAAUUACUGGGCGUAGAGGGUUUGUAGGUGGCCUGCUAAGUCAGACGUGAAAUCCCUCAGCUUAACUGGGGAACUGCGUCUGAUACUGGCGGGCUUGAGGACAGGAGAGGAACGCGGAAUUCCAGGUGUAGCGGUGAAAUGCGUAGAUAUCAGGAGGAACACCGGUGGUGUAAACGGCUUUCUGGACCAUAACUGACGCUGAGGCACGAAAGCGUGGGUAGCAAACAGG
rnacentral:rRNA from 1 species